UACGUAGGGAGCAAGCGUUGUUCGGAUUUACUGGGCGUAAAGGGCGCGUAGGCGGCGCGGUAAGUCACUUGUGAAAUCUAUGAGCUUAACUCAGAACGGCCAAGUGAUACUGCAGUGCUAGAGUGCAGAAAGGGCAAUCGGAAUUCUUGGUGUAGCGGUGAAAUGCGUAGAUAUCAAGAGGAACACCUGAGGCGAAGGCGGGUUGCUAGGCUGACACUGACGCUGAGUGCGCGAAAGCCAGGGGAGCAAACAGG
rnacentral:rRNA from 1 species